GCCAUUUUGUCAUUUACCGCCAAGGUUUUGUGCGUCUAGGAUUGUGUUACUCAAUCUAAAUUUGAGAAUUAUUUAACUUCCACAGCAGAUCCAUUCUUUUAGCGGUAUUUCUCCCCGUAGCCUGCAAAAUUAAACUAAUUCAUGUAAUUUGUAAAUGGAUUUGGGGCCAGGUGAUCAGCAGCAGAUAUGUUAACUAUUAAGCAUUAUAUCUUAACCAUUCAUAACUUAAAAGUUUUUUGUUUCAUUUUAGCUAAUCCCCUUUGCCACGAUGCUAUUUGGAAAGACUAUAAUGGAAGUAUUUUAACAUCCAGUACAUUAAGGAGGAACAGAGAUAUCUUUUCUGUUAUUCUGUGGUAAUGCCAGCUACUUUAUCACCCUGUUCCAUCAACUAAGCAAACGAGGUGCAGAUGAAAAAGUUUUCUUUUUGCUAAACAAAAAAAAGUGCUGCAUUGGCAUGAAGUAUGGACACCCCGCGCCGCCAUCGAACUGGAACUGCGACUGGAACGUUAUACAAAAGAAACGAGACGUGGCCGUCGUCGAAAAAGAACUUUGCAGCCAAAAGUUGUGGUACUGGCCAUCGUUUCUCCAAACAGUUGAACAAUACAGCCGCCAACAAGUAAGUUUGACUUUUCUUAUAAAAUUUUUAAUUUCACAUUUGCAAUAUGCAACCAGGGGCAAUGUGCGACGUCCAGAAGGCGUCCUCAACCGUGGAACGGUGACGAAGAGGCUCUGAAGAAGUGCGUCGCUAUAGUGUGUUCGCCCGGACACGGAUGAUGGCCAGUGAGGCCCUGUUGAAAAGUCUGUCGAUAAAAUUUGUGCUCCCUUCAAGCUCUUUCAGUUGAAGCAGAAUGGCUUGACUAGCUGCGGUUGCGGACACGUCAAGCAGCGUUGGACUAAUCAUGGCAAGUGCCGCAAAAUAUAUCAAAGAGGCCAGUAGCUCCUCUUCGGUCUCUUUCA